rnacentral:rRNA from 1 species
AUUGAACGCUGGCGGCAUGCCUUACACAUGCAAGUCGAACGGUAACAGGUCUUCGGAUGCUGACGAGUGGCGGACGAGUGAGUAACGCGUGGGAAUCUACCUUGUAGUGGGGGAUAAGCCAGGGAAACUUGGACUAAUACCGCAUACGCCCUAAGGGGAAAGGCGCAAGUCGCUAUAAGAUGAGCCCGCGUCUGAUUAGGUAGUUGGUGGGGUAAAGGCCUACCAAGCCGACGAUCAGUAGCUGGUCUGAGAGGAUGAUCAGCCACGUCGGGACUGAGACACGGCCCGGACUCCUACGGGAGGCAGCAGUCGGGAAUAUUGGACAAUGGGGGAAACCCUGAUCCAGCAAUACCGCGUGUGUGAAGAAGGCCUGCGGGGUUGUAAAGCACUUUUAUCGGGAGCGAAAAGCGCAGGGCUAAUACCCAUGCGUCAUGACGGUACCUGAUGAAUAAGCACCGGCUAACUUCGUG